rnacentral:tRNA from 1 species
UGGGUAAUAGCUCAAUGGCAGAGCAUCAGACUUUGACUCUGAUAGUUUGGGUUCGAUUCCCAAUUACCCCG